AUUGAACGCUGGCGGCAGGCCUAACACAUGCAAGUCGAACGGUAACAGGAAGCAGCUUGCUGCUUCGCUGACGAGUGGCGGACGGGUGAGUAAUGUCUGGGAAGCUUCCUGAUGGAGGGGGAUAACUACUGGAAACGGUAGCUAAUACCGCAUAAUGUCGCAAGACCAAAGAGGGGGACCUUCGGGCCUCUUGCCAUCGGAUGUGCCCAGAUGGGAUUAGCUUGUUGGUGGGGUAACGGCUCACCAAGGCGACGAUCCCUAGCUGUUCUGAGAGAUUGACCAGCGGCAUUGGAACUGAGACACGGACCAGGCUCCUGAGGGAGGCAGCAGUGGGGAAUAGUGCACAAUGGGCGCAAGCAUGAUGCAGCCAUGCCGCGUGUAUGAAGAAGGCCUUCGGGUUGUAAAGUACUUUCAGCGGGGAGGAAGGGAGUAAAGUUAAUAACUUUGCUCAUUGACGUUACCCGCAGAAGAAGCACCGGCUAACUCCGUG
rnacentral:rRNA from 1 species